rnacentral:SRP_RNA from 1 species
ACUAGACGGAGCAGUAGCGGCGCUCUGUAACCUGCAAUCCGCUAUAGCAGGGUUGAAUUCCCCAAUGCGGGAACGGUGAUUGAUGCCAGUCGACGGGUAAGUGGCGUUGAAGGCUGGACUCUGCGCAAUAAGACCCUGUGAAUCCUGUCAGGUCCGGAAGGAAGCAGCAGUAAGCAGGCAACCUUAUGUGCCGCAGAACCAUCUGGCCCGAGUUAACUGCUCGGCGGAC